rnacentral:snRNA from 1 species
AUCUUUGCGCUUGGGGCAAUAAUGUCAGUAAUGAAGUUCCACUGAGGCAAGUCAAUUGCUGGUUGUGGACUCUUACUGGACCCUUCUUAUGCCCAGAUUAUUUCUGGACUUUGAGAAGUUCCUGAAUGGCCUACUAAUUAGGGC